AACACAGAUGAAGCCCCUGUUUUGUGAAAAGAUCAUGUGAUAUGACAGAAAGUAAACAGAAGUGGCUAUUUUACAUAGUUUUAUCAGAGAAGGAUCCUCUUUUGACAAAACAUUGGGGUUGGACUCUUAAGGGUGGGAAGGAUUCAGUCUUGAAAAACAAAAAGGAGACAGUGUAUCUGGAGCAUGGUGGGCUAGAAGGGAGGUUGCAGCAAGGUCAGAUUGCCCAGAUGGGAACAAGCUAGAUGUCAGAGGCAUUCAAUACACCUUCAUUCCCUUCCUGGCUGAAUGAAUAUAAAUAACCAGGUGGGGAGCUUCUUCAUUUUUUGACUUGGUCAGCUAACAUAGCAGUCCUCAACCUUGUUGGCUCCAGGGACCAGUUUCAUGGAAGACAGUUUUUCCACGGACGGGUUUCCGGGGUUUGGUUUUGAGGUGUAAAUGUUCCACCCCAGAUCAUCAGGUAUUAAUUAGAUAGAUUCUCAUAAGGAGAAACCUAGAUUCCUCUCAUGAGCAGUUCACAAUAGGGUUUGUGCUUCUAUGUCAAUCUAAUGCCUCAUCUGAUCUGACAGGAAAUCUUUACCUCCUGCUGUGUGGCUCAGUUCCUAACAGGCCACUGACAGGUACCGGUCAGUGGGUUGAGGAUAUUUGAGCUAACAGACACAAGGAGAGGUUCUUGCUGGUCAUUUCAAGCUAUUGCCUUUACAUUUCCAUGGGAUACUGCAAUCUGCUUUCUGUUUAAAAGUAGCCACUGGGGAUUAGUGAGCUCCAUUGUCUUUUGGACAGUUGAUUGGGAACCUGCAAGGCCAAAAAUGAAGAUGUCAGCAAUUCUGUGUGAUAGUUAAAGUGGAUCCAUCUAACGAUUUAUUUCUCCAAGUCUUUUAAAAGCCUUAAGUGGAGACUCAGAAGCAUGAUUUCAGUGUGAAUUAGCAUCAGGGAAAAAACAUAUUCUUCCUUUGUUUUGAUUCAUGCUAAAGGGCCUGAUUUCACAUUAGAUCAAAAAUGUCCUGAUUUUUUUUAAAGCAGUACCAAGUUUAAAUAUGCUCUCUAUUGUCUGCAUAAACUUACAAAAGUGUUCCAAAAUUUAAAUAUUUCCGUUUAUUAGCGGCAUCUUGAACUCCUUCUUAUAGGCAGAGGCAGGGCCAUUCCAUUGGGAUAAGCAAGUCACUAUGAUGAAGACAAAAUUGCAAACUGUUGUUGCAUAGACAAAUACAUCCAUUUCCAUAAUGAAAAUAAUCAGUACCAUGCUGCAUAGUAUACUUAACCGAAUUUGGUUAGACAAGUUUGAAGAGUUUUCAGAAGAUUUUGAUGACAGAAAUAUGUCAUUAUUUAUGUCUAAUUAACUAUACUAUCAUUGCUUGGGAUCUCAAUAUAAUUAAAAUGAAAAUCUAAUCAGAAAUGAAUGUGUGCACACUGACUUGGUAAAAUAUUUUUGUGUAAAUGUAAUAAACAAGUCACAGUUAACUCAGGAUGUAUUUGUGUUCCUCUGUACCAAAGUAAUAAGAAAAAAAAAUAAGCAGGUAGCAAGCUUCAGAUAGAUUCUUUUGUAUCGUCAGUUAAUUUCAAAAUGUGAUUAUAUUUGCAAGUGAAAAUAAGUUAAAUAUCAGAGAGUGAUUAGACUACAUCUAGUUAUGCAUCUUUUGGUUAUCCAAGAAUGAGCUGUGAAAGGUAUGCUACUUGAAUGAUGCACUGAGCAUUUACUUUAGUACUAUUCUAAUGUGUAAUUAUAGAUAGUUACAUCCCAAGACAAGUUGUUGUCUUUUUGAAAAGAAAUCAAUCAAGUACCAACGCAUCAAUAUCAAGAGUAUUGUACCCUUCAUCAAAAUGAGCCAUUGCCUAAAGAAGAUAGGUAUUGGUAGUGAAUUUAUUUUAUCAUUUAGAUGAUCUUGAAGAAUCUUGGUUAUUUUGAUAACACACUUUAUUUUACUCAAUCAUAUACUGACUAUAGUGAGGAAUCUAAACGUUCUUGGGAGAAUUGGCGUUAGGAUGUGGAGGGCUAGAAAGAGCUGGAUGUUUCUUACCAUCAUAAUUGACAUACGCCCUUCAUUUCUUAGAAUAGGAAUUAGAAUAGAAUGUUACUGAUAUUUCAGACUAAGGAUUUUAUCAUAAUAGUGCUUAGUCUGUUAUGAGAAUUUUCUUCCUGCAGGAUAUUCUCCUCAUCCCUAUCUUCAAAACAGAAGUAGAUUCCUCUCAGUGUUCAAAAGUCAGUAUUUUUUAAUGGAGGAAAAUAAAAAUUAUCAGUCGUCAUCAAAAAGAGCAGCAUUACAUAUCUGUACAGUUUUUGUUUUAUGUUUGGGUUGAAUAAAGAAAAGAUCAAGCCAGGGUCUUUCCUUUGAUAAUUUAUAACUUAGGGCAUCUUUUGAUAGUGUAGCUAUAUACUGAAAAUGUUUCAUGCAGGUUGAAACAAUUAUCUAUGGGGUGUAGAAUUUUCAAUUACAUGUCUACAUAAUUGAGUUUGUUAAUUGUGUUCUUUAAAUAUUGUCAUUAGUAAUGUUUUGACUUCCUAAUCUGUCCAUUUAUAAAAAAUAUAAUUAUACUUCCAAUUAUAAUUGUAAGUUCUAUCAAUUUCUUGUAAUUCCAUAAUUGUUACUUUAUGUAUUUUGAGUCAAUUCUUUCAUGUGUUUACAUGUAAAUGAUUAUUUUAUUUUCUUAGUGUUCUUUUAUUUUCAUUAUAUGAUGUCCUCCUUAUUAACAAAUUUGCUUAUAAUUCAAUUUUUAUUAUUCAUUAUUAUUGGUUACUAGUUAUUGUAGUCCUGGAGAAUCUUUGUCAAUCUCUUCAUGUUAAAUUUCCCAUGUCAUUUUUAGGGUGUGUUUUUUGGAGCCAGCAUCUAGCUAGAUUGUGUUUGCUUAUUGUGUUUACUGGUUUAUCUUUUUAUUAUGUAUGUCAUUUUGUUUUAUGUUUUUACUUUAUUCUUUCUUUCCAAGGAUUACUGUUAGACGUAUGCUAGAACUUCUCAAGGUAUUGUUUUUGACUUGUUUUUUAAGAUUUCUAUUUUAUCUUUUUGGCCUAUAUUCUAGAUGAUUUUUUUCUAUAUCAUCUUUGAGUUUACUAAUUUUUUCUUCACAAUACUUCAGAUUGGAGUUUGUCUCAUACUUAUGUUCUCAAUUUCAGUGAAUUAAUUUUAUCAUUUCUUAGGAUUUCCAGUUUGUUCUUUAAAUUUAUCCAUUCUUGAAUCAUUACUUAAAGUUGAUUUUAUAAUUUAUUGUUCUGUUUUAAUGAAUGCUUUCUUUCAAUUUUGCUCUGUAAGAAUGUUAAACAUACUUAUUUUAAAAAUAAAAAUGUUUUCACGUUG
rnacentral:lncRNA from 1 species